ensembl:snoRNA
AAUAUUCGUGAAGUAAGUAGGAAUUAUGACUGCUGUGACAUAUGUGCCUCAGUAGGUUGGCAGAGAGGAGAGAGGCUAUGUCUAUGCUCCAUGUUCUACCCUGUGAACAUCUGAAUGGUUAGUAGCCUAACACU